rnacentral:rRNA from 1 species
UACGUAGGGGCCUAGCGUUGUCCGGAUUUAUUGGGCGUAAAGAGCUCGUAGGCGGUUCGGCAAGUCGGAUGUGAAAUCUCCACGCUCAACGUGGAGGGGGCCAUUCGAAACUGCCGUGACUCGAGUCCGGUAGGGGAGUGUGGAAUUCCGAGUGUAGAGGUGAAAUUCGUAGAUAUUCGGAGGAACACCAGUGGCGAAGGCGGCUCACUGGCUCGGUACUGACGCUGAGGUGCGAAAGCGUGGGGAGCAAACAGG